rnacentral:misc_RNA from 1 species
CACUCUGAAAGGAGAGAAGAAACAUGUUUUAUAAGCUAAAGUUACAAACAAAGCCUAAUAUCUCCAGGAUCAACUCUACAAAUAAUAACAAAAAGCCCUCUGCAGAACCCAACUUGCACUCAAUAAGAUGUAUGUACCAGCUUGCCCUGAAUUCCGCCAUCAAUCGCUAGAACAAUCUUUGAUCAAUUAAUCCAACUGGACAAAAACCAAAACUGCUAUGCUACCACACAGAUUUUGACAAAUGUUGAAAGAUCCUCUAUUCACAACGUAAGCACAAGUUCUUUGCAAUCAUCUGUCAAAAUAUGGCAGAUCUGCUAUUUGCAGAGUCAAUGAAACAAAAUGCAUACAGGUCCACAUUAUUUUAGCAGCAUUUACACUUCUCCAAUCAGUCGGCCCUCAAUUGUAGAAUCUCCUUGGCUGUUCUCAUCCGAAAGUACGGCAUGUGAUCCUGGCCAAAACAAAGCCCUAAAUUUCUGCUAUAAAAAUCAGCAUAUUUGAUCA